GACGAACGCUGGCGGCGUGCUUAACACAUGCCAGUCGAACGGAAAGGCCUCUUUCGGGGGGUACUCGAGUGGCGAACGGGUGAGUAACACGUGAGUAACCUGCCCUUUACUUUGGGAUAACUUCAGGAAACUGGGGCUAAUACCGGAUAGGAGCUCCUGCUGCAUGGUGGGGGUUGGAAAGUUUCGGCGGUUGGGGAUGGACUCGCGGCUUAUCAGCUUGUUGGUGGGGUAGUGGCUUACCAAGGCUUUGACGGGUAGCCGGCCUGAGAGGGUGACCGGCCACAUUGGGACUGAGAUGCGGCCCAGACUCCUACGGGAGGCAGCAGUGGGGAAUAUUGCACCAUGGGUGGAGGCCUGAUGCAGCAACGCCGUGUGCGGGAUGACGGCCUUCGGGUUGUAAACCGCUUUCGCUCAUGACGAAGCUUUGUGUGACGGUAGUGGGUAAAGAAGCACCGGCUAACUACGUG
rnacentral:rRNA from 1 species